rnacentral:rRNA from 1 species
AACGAACGCUGGCGGCAUGCCUAACACAUGCAAGUCGAACGGCAGCACGGGAGCAAUCCUGGUGGCGAGUGGCGAACGGGUGAGUAAUAUAUCGGAACGUGCCCGGUCGUGGGGGAUAACGUAGCGAAAGCUACGCUAAUACCGCAUACGAUCUACGGAUGAAAGCGGGGGAUCGCAAGACCUCGCGCGAUUGGAGCGGCCGAUAUCAGAUUAGGUAGUUGGUGAGGUAAAGGCUCACCAAGCCGACGAUCUGUAGCUGGUCUGAGAGGACGACCAGCCACACUGGGACUGAGACACGGCCCAGACUCCUACGGGAGGCAGCAGUGGGGGAAUUUUGGACAAUGGGCGCAAGCCUGAUCCAGCAAUGCCGCGUGCAGGAUGAAGG